AUUUUAAUGAAAAAGGACAUUUAAGUGCUAUAAAUUGAUGUAGCCAAGUAUUUUCUCAAUUCAAAAUACAAAAAUACACAACAGUCAUUAGUUAAAAUACAUUGACAGCAAGCCAUCUUCUUCGCCCUUUUUCACCUCAGCUCCAACUUUCAGAACUCAACCCAUCAAUCUUGCAUUAAUUAUUUGAUUGGCAGCAAUUAUACUAAUUGACAGUUGUUUACCAUCGCCUCCGAUAAUGACCCAGAUGGAUCCACAAUGAUUCGAAAAAGGUUGCUUCAAGAUCAGGUGCUGCUAUAUCCAACCCCCAUAAAUAUAUCCCCUUCCUCUGACUCUCUAAAACCCUUUUGGCAAUGCUGAUUCAAUCAUUUCACAUCUGGUGCUUUCAGGGUAGCUAGAAUAGCUACAAACUCCUCAAAUUGAUCUUUUUGAAGAAUACAUAACAAUUCCAACUUCAAAUUUAUCCAAGAAUUUUGCAAUGUGCUCAUCAAAUACCGAACCUGGUGGUUCUAGAACAAUAGGACCUGCAAGAAUCAUAGGCUUGCCGAACUGCUUCUCAAUACAAAAAACAAAACCUUCCAUCUCUGAGCAGGCUUUUUAAGCUAAUGGCACCACACCCAUCGAAAGAAAGCAAUUGGCGUUCCAAGCCUGAAAGCCGCUGACAAAUCUUUUUGUAGUUGUAGCAACUAGUCCUCGAGCUUCAUGGGCACGUAGCUUGAUCCAAGGUGGAGGGAAACUUGGCGGAGGCUUCAUCCAUCGAACAUUUCUCAAGGAGCUCUCUUUCAGGGCUUAUCAAUGACCAACAGUAGCUGGACUAAUGGUACAAUAAUGCACAGAAUUUACGCCAAUCCUGCGUGAUGCUUCUAGCAACCAAUAAGUGAAAUCAAAGAAGACGAAAUGGGGUUUGGUGUCUGGGAGAUGAGCCUCGAUGACAGGCGUGAAAUCCAUGGUAGUCAUUAGAAGAGUAUGCAAAGAGAAAGGGGCAUCGUUUGUUGUCUCAAUGCCUGUGGAAGGCCAUCCACGUAUGGAAUAGUGACAGGAGUAAAGUUUAUGAGAUCUGAGCGACGAUUGAAUGGCUUAAACUUGGGUUUGGUUUUUGAUGGCAGAAGGAAUGAGAAUUUGUGGCUUGUGUAAGCUCGUUGGAUAGAUGAAGAAAAGAGCUACGUUAGCCCAUAGCAAAGCAUGAAAACAUAACUAUGUUAAAGGCUUUGUUGUCAUUGGCCAUGUUCAUUAAUUUCCUGUAUUGUAACUCGUAAGAUACUGAAACCCUCAAAACUCAUGUUUUCUUCCGGCGAGAAGAUUAAAUAUCAACCCACAAAAAGAUUAUGAUUAGUGAUGGGAAAAUUCAAACUGAAUUUAUUUAAUGAUAAUGGCUUUAUCUAACAUUAUCUUUUUCUCUUUAAGGUUAUAUUCUCACCUGUGGUUGUUUGUCCCUCCUAAACCGUACAAUGGAUCCUCUUCAAAAUAUCAAUUUUUGUAAUUUGUAACGCUACUUCUUGGAUCGCUUAUGUUUGGUUUUCCUUGGAUGGAUCCUAAAUUUAGUUGCACUUUUUGUUUAUUGCAAAAUUGUUUUGACAAUAUAUAACACCCAGUAUCAUUCACAUGAAAACAAAAUCAUUGUUUUGUGUGAACUAAACCAAGCAAUAUAGACCUAACAAAGGUGUGCAACUAUGCAUGACAUGAUACCACACACACAUCAAAGAAAAAGAAACAUACCCUAUAAGGGCCUUAACGUUACUUUUGGAUCCUAGUAGUCAACGCUGGUCCCGUUGUGCAGUUCAGAGAAAAAAAGCAUCCUAAUUUUACAAGCUGUAUGAUUUUAAGUAAUUUAGAAGGCCAUUGUCAUCAUUGCGUUUUAAGGUUUCAAUCCCCCAGAAUGAAGUUUUAUAGCAUGUAUGACAUAAGUCAUGCUUUCAGAAGAAAAAUCAAACCAACUGCAGCUACCAAGUCAAAAAUGCAUCUGAUUUUUGUAUUACCCGUCAGCCCCUUCAAAUUUUUGGAAUAACAACCUCAGGACUAUAGACUGAAGACUUAUAAAUUUGGGGGCUUGUCAGUUGCGAUCCAUAUAAAAUUUUGUUAGUUUUUAGAUAAGUAUCCGAUCUAGCAAUUUAAAUUUCCCUUCCCUUCUCUAUGGAGUGUCCAAAAGCUGCAUACAUGAUAUUCACAUGCAUCAGGUAAUGGUCACCGAACUGGCCUUGCCAAUGCAAAGCAGGCAUUCAAAUUAACUGACAUCAACAGCUCUAUUACAACUAUUUCAUUUGGAAGGCGGAUCUUGUGGCUGGGUUCAAUAAAGCCUGCUUGCCAUAGUCCAAGAUGUAGAACUAUCAACUCAAGGCAUACAAAUAAAAAUAAAAACAAAAAUAAAAUCAGAGCAACUCAUUCUUACCAGGGGAUAGCUUUCGUCCACCAUAAAUCUCACUUGCCAAGGGAUUGGAAGCCCAAUGAUUCACAGCUACCCGACUUGUAGGUUGGAACCCUACUAUUUUACCAUCAGUUGACAGAACAACCUGAUAACUAGCAAUAUCCUGUGCAGAUGAUUUCAUAUCUUCAUCAAUUUUCUGUUCAGGAGCAGAAGUUGAAUUUUCUUCCCUAGUGGAUUCAGAUUUGCCCAUAACUUUCAAGUAUUUUGGAACAUCUCCAAUCCAAGCACCAUUAUCUGUUUCUGUUAUUAUAUUGCCAGGCCAGCCAAAUGCAUCCUUAAUCUUUUUGACGAUCAGAACGCAAAAUCCUUGCAACUUUUCAGCAUCCUGAGAUUCAUUUACUGCAAACUUAAUUUCAGAUGAUGGAGGUGACCUAUGUUCUUGAGCGUACAUUUCUCCUUUGCGUAUAUGAGGAAAACUAAACUGUCUGAGAGCAGUGAUGGUAAUGAGAAAAAUUCCACUUGCAAGGCUAGCCGACAAGAUGUUCAGCAAAGAAGAGCUCCUCUUUUUAUUGGAAAAGUUGGUAAACUUUGUAAUGGCAUGACAUGAUAACUCUUUAUCAGGCAACGAGUAAACGUCUUCAUAGUACAUAUCUAAUAUUUCAGCCAAUCCAGCCAUUUGGGAAUGGGUCAAAAGAACUUCCCACCUAUUCUCUGCAGAUCUUCUCCAUCCUUCAAAUUUUACAUCCUUAACUUUAUCUGCAUUAAUUUGUAGCCUAUAAGCUGGUACAUACUCACUUGUCCAUGCACUGAAGUCAGGCCCCCCAAUUUUUUCCAACUUAGAGUGUGCCACUAGUGUCCACCAAUUGUACUUGUUUCUCUUUUUUAUUCCUCUGAAACUUUCCUUGGUUGAAUUAAAAUUUGCUAGCAAACUCUUGGCAUUCUCUACUAUUUCAUCUUCAAAUAAUUUAUAAAUGACAACAGCAGAGUCCUUGGACACAAUUCUCUUGGGCUUCUGAAACCAGCGGGAGAUACCACUAGAAGUUUUCCCCAAAAAAUCAUCAAGGAAAUGCCCUUCAGUGUCUUGAAGAGCAGCUAUGCAAACAGCUUCUGCAAGCACAGAAAUAACCUCUUCUUUUGAUGACCUGAGAAAGAAAGAUGCAGGAACCUCUCUUGGGUUUUGAAGAUCCUCCAUGUUUCUCUUUGUCCCAGGCCUUAACACAACGAGCUCAAAAUUCCACAGCUGUUGCAAAACCACUUGUCUAAAUGUCAUGGCAAGUAUGUUUUGAGACGUAGUCCCAGAGAAAAUAUCUUCAGUGUAAGAACUUCUGAAUUUGCCCGCUUUUUCUUUAACUUUCUUAGCAGGUAAAAACAAUCGAGUAGAAAUGGUGGCGUGCUCAUCCCCGGGCCCUGGGAAAAUCGUCUCAACGACCAUGGUGGGCAUGCCGGAAUCAAUGUGCUCAGCCGCGGCCCGGCCUCCAUCGGCUGCAGCUGCAGUGAGAGCCUGCUCGAAGCCAACGGCGCCUACUAAGCUGAGCCGAGCCAAGUCGUUCUCAAAGGUCCUAACGCAAGGGAGGGUCUUUCCUUUAGACUCCGCUACGAAUUGGAGAAAUGCUUCUUCUUGUUGCUGUUUUGGAGAAGUGCAGAAGAGGACAGGGAGGGGAUUUCUGGAACUGGGCAGGGGCAAAAUGGGAAGGGAAAAUGUAGGAAUUGUAGUUUUGGAGGAGAGGGAAUGAGAAGGUGAAGAAAGAAGAAGAAGAGGUGAUAGAAAGGAGAGAGCUUGACAAGAAGGAGGCAUUUUGAUUCUGUGAUUUUG
rnacentral:misc_RNA from 1 species